AGCAAGUCACGCCGACGUCGGGUAGUACGAAAAGUAGUAGAUUAUUUAGUUGUAGCCGAAUUUAUCUAAAUUAUAUCGGGCACCUGUACGCUUAAAGCGCGAGCUCGAUUAUACGAUUGUUAGAUCAGGCAUUAUUCGGUGGAGUGCUGGGCAAGCGGCACAAGUCUUGAACUAAAUUCUAUCCCAUCCACAUGCACUAAUCCCUGCCACAGACAGGCCCACAAAGGUUGAUCGACGAAGAAAUAAUUAGUUAGUUGGAUUACAUUUGUGACCAGGGGAGACCAAUUCUUGAAGAGCGUAAGCGCAAUACGAAAUCGUGCGUUUCUGUCGAGAGGUCCCACAAAUCC
rnacentral:lncRNA from 1 species